rnacentral:rRNA from 1 species
GAUGAACGCUGGCGGCGUGCCUAAUACAUGCAAGUCGAGCGAACAGACGAGGAGCUUGCUCCUCUGACGUUAGCGGCGGACGGGUGAGUAACACGUGGAUAACCUACCUAUAAGACUGGGAUAACUUCGGGAAACCGGAGCUAAUACCGGAUAACAUGUUGAACCGCAUGGUUCAACAGUGAAAGACGGUUUUGCUGUCACUUAUAGAUGGAUCCGCGUCGCAUUAGCUAGUUGGUAAGGUAACGGCUUACCAAGGCAACGAUGCGUAGCCGACCUGAGAGGGUGAUCGGCCACACUGGAACUGAGACACGGUCCAGACUCCUACGGGAGGCAGCAGUAGGGAAUCUUCCGCAAUGGGCGAAAGCCUGACGGAGCAACGCCGCGUGAGUGAAGAAGGUCUUCGGAUCGUAAAACUCUGUUAUUAGGGAAGAACAAUUGUGUAAGUAACUAUGCACGUCUUGACGGUACCUAAUCAGAAAGCCACGGCUAACUACGUG